AACGAAUGCUGGCGGCAGGCUUAACACAUGCAAGUCGAACGCUCCGCAAGGAGAGUGGCAGACGGGUGAGUAACACGUGGGAACGUACCCUUUACUACGGAACAACUCCGGGAAACUGGAGCUAAUACCGUAUGUGCCCUCUGGGGGAAAGAUUUAUCGGUAAAGGAUCGGCCCGCGUUGGAUUAGCUAGUUGGUGGGGUAAAGGCCUACCAAGGCGACGAUCCAUAGCUGGUCUGAGAGGAUGAUCAGCCACAUUGGGACUGAGACACGGCCCAAACUCCUACGGGAGGCAGCAGUGGGGAAUAUUGGACAAUGGGCGCAAGCCUGAUCCAGCCAUGCCGCGUGUGAUGAAGGCCUUAGGGUUGUAAAGCACUUUCACCGGAGAAGAUAAUGACGGUAUCCGGAGAAGAAGCCCCGGCUAACUUCGUGCCAGCCGCCGCCGUAA
rnacentral:rRNA from 1 species